rnacentral:lncRNA from 1 species
CUUUUCUAGGGCCACACCUGAAGCAUAUGGAGGUAACCAGGCUAGGGGUCUAAUCAGAGCUGUAGCUGCUGGCCUACUCCAGUGCCACAGCAACGCAGGAUCUGAGCUGCGUCUACGACCUACACCGCAGCUCAUGGCAACAACAGACCCUUAACCCACUGAGCGAGGCCAUGGAUUGAACCAGCAACCUCAUGGUUCCUAGUCAGAUUCAUUAACCAGUGAGCCACUAUGGGAACUCCAGGAAAAAGUAUCAUUUAAAUGGCUGUCUCUAGCCUAGAUAAAAGGUUGCUUAUCAGGAAUUCAUAAGUGCCAUAUACACAAAUAGAAAAUUAACUCUUAAACUUGUAUUUCUCUCUUCAUUGGACUGGUCUACAGAGAGAACUACCGACUUCAAACUCACCCUAAAACAAGGCUCAAAUAAGAAAAACACCAAUGUCUGGAUAAAAGACGACAACAUCAGAAGUAGACUGGUAUCCCAAGAUUGCCAUACCUACUCAUAGGGUUAUUUGUUUUGCUUCUGAUUUACCUUGGUGGGUUUCUCCCCUCCAAGGCUCUUAUUAUUGAUGUUACUAGGUAACAUCACCUGACCAGUUAACACCUGCUCUGACCCAGACCAUAAAUACGUUUUCUUCUAAUGUUACUCAAGCUCAAUCAGCAACAAGUUAAGACUUCAGCCAAGUGAUACAACUUUCCCAGGCUAUAGUAAUUUAAAUUUAAAGGCUCCCUUAUAUUGGGAACAAUUAAACCAUCCAGAGAUAACCAGCCUAAUAACACUAGGAGAUUAGGCUGAAUGGACAAAUCCAGUAUAUAAUUUCCUUUAAAGAUAAGGAACGGACUAAGCCAGCUGAACUGGGAUACAUACUGGGCUGUAGUUGGUGAAAGCUCUUAACUUAAAUUCUUAUUUAUGACUUUACUAAUACUGCUAUAAUAUUUUUAUUAACUGUAUUUACAAAAUUGCUACUUCUUGCAUUACCAAAUUUAACUGAGUCUCUUAUAAAAGGAUAUACAGUUCCAUAUGAGAUCAGUGAUCUCUAGAUAUGGGAAAAUGCAACAAGAGGGAAUAUUUGCCUGGACCAUAAGAGACUAGGAAGACAGGGGGUCCAAAGACUUUUGGCUAUUGUAAUAAGGCCUAGUCCAGUAAUAGCACAUUGAAUGGCCUGUCAGUGAAAUCUUUGCCAGACCUAGGAAAGUUCAUUCCUAGCACUGUGGGACUAAAUGGUCAUUAAAUGUAUCCCAAAAACUAUGGUCAAAUUUAUGAAUGGGGGAGCCCUCUGAACUGGAGAUUGGUACUUGCCAUUUGCCUCUACAAAGAUUAAAUCUUAAACUGCUGAAACCGUUGAAUUUCAACACUCCCUGAAAGGAGUUCAGGGUGAUGAUCAGAAAUAAGGUACUCUGUGCUCUGGGAAACUGACAGAACAGGCCUUUAGAUAGUUAGAUUUCAGGUAAGGAUUUUUAUGGGCCCAAAUUCUUGCAUCUUCUCAUAUCUCGAAAAACACUGAAAUCAUUAACAGUGGCAUCUGCAUUGGCCAUUAAAGAGAAAAGGCAGAAUGGAGUAGCUGUGGGUCAGACAUCCAAGGCAGCACUAAGUAAUAUUAUGCAAGUAAUUUUAGAGAAGUCCUUAUACAGCUAAGAACUAAAGCUUUAUGAGCCCUGUUAGAUUUGAUGCCACCAGCUGUUCUCAAAAUGGUAUCAGCUGGGAGCUGCAACUUUACAUUUUAAAGGUCUCCUCUUAUAAUAACAGAAAGGAGACAACAAGUAUAAUGACUAAUAGCUCCUAUUAAUUAUGUGUUAAUAUCAUAUCAAAUGUUAAAACCUACUUAGAUAAAACUAUACUCUUCCUUCAAGAGUACCAGUAUCAACCUAUAUCCCAACCUCUGUUUAAUCUUAUUUUUCUUUUCUUCCCAUCCUCUAUGGAAGGAACCUACCAUGCUCUGCCACCCAGUACUCAUUGUCCCUAGCCAGCAGGAAGUAGCUCCAGAAGAGUGGACCAUCACCCCUAACCCACGUAACAAAAGGCUGGAAUGAUAGGUUCCCAGGAGGGUGGAGACAGAAUCUCCACCCCCAAAUAUGGUUGUUCAACUUGGAGACCUACUAUGGACACACCAUCUCCCAGAAUGUGGACACUCAAGUUGGGCAGAAAGAAACAACAGCCCUUGGGAAAACAACUGCCUGCAUAGAUUAAUCACCUACAAGGAUUAAUUGCCUUCUGUCAUGGGACUCGACCCCUUCCCCUUCCCCAACCUCCCCCCCCACCCCUUCUUCAUUGUUUCUGCCACAAGUUUCCACCAAAAACUCUAGCCACAGAUUCCUAACAAAGAUCCUCCAUAAGCCUAGCAUCUUGUCACAGUCAGGGCUGAAAAGAAGGAUUCUGCUGAUAGAAUUUCUGGCACCUCUUUGGCUCUCACAGCUAAUGAUCUUACACCAAUGCCAAGAUGUCCAGUGUCCCCACCCAACCACGACAGCUGCCCUUCUUAAAAAGCUUUUCUGCACAACCCCUUAAAUUUUACUUCUCAUUGUCUAACUCCUGAUAGAAGGAUCUGAUAAACUCUUAUGGACAGAUGUUAAUUGUUGAUAAAUCUUGCAACAUUAUCUUAUCAGAUAGAGUUUAACCAAUUAGGUUGAUAAAAUCCAUAGUAUUUAUCAUCAAAUGAAAUUUGAUUUAAAUCUUGACUCCCCACAACUAUUACUACUGCACCUCACAGCUGAACGGCUUUGGGCAAGAUGCUUAAACUCCACUAAUGUUCCUUCUCCUUAAAGUGGGGUUAUAAUCUGCACUUCAGAGUGUUUGUAAAAAUUAAACAUCUUGAAGUAUAUGCCCCAAGAGCCUUAAACCUAAUACAUGAUCAUGAAAUAUUAUCAAAUCCCUUUCCAAAAUAGUUAUAACAAGGUAUAAAACUGUCUGUCAUUUCUAUUCUCCUUAGGGUGUGGGAUCCUCCAGGCACUGAUCUUUUUCUCUACCUUUGGUGCUAAAUACAAUGUUGAAGAUCUGGUUAUGAAAAAAUGUUUGGAUCCAUUAAUGAAUAACCAUUCAUUAAAGGAAGAAAUAAAACACUAACAUCUACUAAUCUUAACAAAUGCCAUUUUAAUGAACUGAAAGCCCUAAAUGAGGAAAGAUUUACUGUAGAAAGAAUACAUUGCCUUGCUCACAGGGAGGUGAAAUAUUAGCCAGUGCUUGACUUUCACAAUGUAAAGCCACAUAUAGAAGUUUCAGGAGAAGCACAGUUUGGGGUACCAAUCAUUUUAGAAGGUUCUUGAUCCCCCUCUACCUAGCUGAUUAAUAAUGACGUACACUGCUUAUAAUUACAUAUUUGAAGAGGGGAUUCAUUUUAAGAAAAAUUUAAGAAGAAAAUUAAUGGGUGACUAUUUACAAGUAUGUUCACAUUAGGAUUGAUUUAAAUAGUGAAAUCUUUGUGCAACUAAAUUACGAUUUGAUUCAACAGAAUUGAUCUAACACAACUAUUUCAGAAAUACAUUACCAAAGUAUGUAGAAUAUAUGUGUGGGGGUGUGUGUGUGAAAAUAUACGUAUAUAUAGAUGAAAAAAAAAUUAGACAAGGCCUUGGAUUCUGUAAGAUCUAUUAGAGAUUAAUUAUGGGUGCAGGAAGUGGCAAUGUGCAUGCCAUUUAUCAUCUCUCAAAGAUCCUCAAAAGAUUACUGUAUGGUAAUUCUGUAUCUUAGACUGACUUUCUAUCCCUAAGUCUAAUAAAGUAGGUUUAGAAGAGCAUACACAGAGAACUUUCCUAGUGUGGCUCACAACAUAACUAUUUGACGUUGCUUCUACAAUGGCUGUGGCUAGACCCCUGGCUGGGGAAUGUCCAUAUACUACAGGUGUGGCCACUUUAAAAAAAAAAAAAGAGCAUACAAAGAAUAUAAAAAGGAAUAAAAUUAUCCUGUGACUGAGUGCUAAGGGUGAUGCUUCAGCUCUCAUCUUUGAUGUGGGCAUCAGUUGAGGACAGUGAGAGUCUUUAUUUAUCUGUUUUAGUGCAUUCCAGCAUUUACUGCCUGGCAUUUGUCCAGAAUUAGCUAUUUUUUAACAAAGUACUAUUAUUUUUUAGUCUCGUUAAAACAAGCUUAGGCUUUGAUAGACCUCCACUUAGUAUUUACAGCUUCUGCCAAGAAUUGUCCAGCAGUGCUAAAUAGAGUAGUGAGUAGAGUUCACACCUUAACAGGGACUAAAUGUAAAUGGCCAACAGCAUAUCCCAUCUUAUCUUUCUGAACCUUUUCUGAUGCAACAUAAUUAAUGUUAUUUAUUAUCAAGCACAUAUUUUAAUGCACUUGAUAAUGAGAGAUCAGACCAGGUGACUAACUUUUUCUGGUUCAGGUAGUGCUGGAGUAAGAUUCGGCAUUGCUGCUCUGCUGACCACUUAACUACCAGUCAGAUAUUCUAUGAUCCAUGCCAUGACCAGAGAGAUACACAAAACCACAGUGUUACCUAUUGGCAGGGAUAGUGGGGAGCAUGAGAAAUUAAGAGGUAUACAACAUAUGUACAGGGAAGAGAAAAUCAGAAGUCCUGCUGCAAAGCAUAUGAACAGUAGUCUGAUAAUUGUCACCAUUUCAUGAACCUCAAAAACAGAAAUAUUAAUAUCAGUAUAAACUUUUAAGAUUCUUGUCUGUUGCUGUUCCUUAAAAUAAAUCAAAAUACAGUGCCUUUGUUGGCAAAACAUUUGGGAACAAAAGAUAUGAGACUGUGGAUGCAAAAAGGAACUCCAUUCCAAAGACACAUAGUACUCCCACUAUAAAUGAUAUUAUUUUAUUUUAAACUCCUAGCUAGUAAUAUGAAUACACAAGAGGACAGAGUCCAAAAACCCAAACACACUAAAAUAACUACAAAAUUAAUCAAUAUAAAAUGCCUAACAUAGCACAAAGAUAGACUUUACCAGCUGUUUCCAGAGUUUAAGCAUUCCUAGGGAUAAAACUAGGAAGUUCCACAUCCUCACUAAACCUUUCGGACCACUAGGUUUGAGGCACGGCAUCCACAUAACCAUUUUAUAAGCUGGACAUCUUAUGCUCCAUGCUACAAGUCAUAUUUUAAGAACAAAACUGGAAAAAAAAUGUAGAGCCUUUCCAGAUAUGGGAAACUGUAAGUAUCUCAUGCAAGGAAUUAAGCUUCACAACAUGGAGAAAAGACUAAAAGAUUAGCAAGAUUAGAAGAAAAAAAAAAAGACCCCAAUUUAAUGUCUAAUAAGUCACUCUACAGUGCAAAACAAAGAGCUCUAUAGUUUCUCUUUAGGUAUUCAUUUACUCAGAAAAUAUUUAUUGAACAUGUGUCAUGUGCCAGACACUGUUCACAGCACUGAAUAUACAGCAGUGAACAAGACAUAAGGGCUCUAAACUUCUAUAGAACUUAAAUUUUAAUAAGAAAAAAAAAGAGGUAAAAGAGAUCAUUUAAUAAACAUCAGUCAUACUUAAUUAUAAAGGAUGCAAACAGCUAAUAUCAAAGAACUGGGUUUGGGGAAAGUGUUUUAUAUCAAUGUUGUCAAGGAAGGUCUUGUUGAGAAGGAGACAUUUAGGUGGACACCUGCAUGAGAUGACACAGCCUGACAUGCAAGGAUGCAGGUGUGAGUGUAAAGCAUUUCAGGUAGGCAAAUCUAGCCAAUGAUGCUAAAAAGGUUAUGAGUUGGAUAAUUCAGAAAAAAAAAAUCUAUUUGUAUGGUUUGAGUUCUUGGAUAUUAGGAAAAAUGAACAAAGAGAGAGGAAAAAUGUUUUUUUACUUCCAUAGUGGUGUUUACAAACUCCCAAAGACAUCCAAGACAGAGUGUCGAGCUUUUGCUUUCUGGCUUUAAUAGAAAGCACAGUGAACUGAUAAACAAGAGGUUAGAGCUUCAUAAAAUUCAACAUCUCUAAUUGAUGCUUUUCCCUGUAUGCUCCUUUCUCUUUCUAAACUGUCUCCUCUGAAAACUUACAUUAGCCUUGAGGAAGUAAAGUUAAUCAUGGCAACUCUAAAGGAGAAGUUGAUGAAGCAAUUAAUGCUGGAGCUGAAGAACAGCAUCCCCUUGCCUUUGGCUGAUGGCCUCAACUCAGAUUCCUAAUGUGGAGCCUCUACUACCCAUCAUCCCCAUAGUGCUCACACCUUCACGUGUUUCCCUUGACUGAAUUGUUGGGUUUAUUUCAACACUAAGUGAGCAUUCUUUUCAAGCAUAGGAGGGCUGCUAUGGAGACAGUAAAAACAACUGGUUUGAUUACUAAGGAGAACCACACUUAGAUUAGGGGGUAGAAUUUUAAAUAGAGAAACUUUAACUCAAUCUUUCUAAAAGGGAGCAUUCAACACUGUAAACAAAUUGUCUGGUAUGAUAGUAUGUUUUCCAUCCCUGGAGGCAUUAAAGCAACAGUUUUGGGAUUUGUAAGUAAUGUUGCAUAAUGAGAAUCUUCUCCCUGGGAGAAAGGUUGUUUCUUUCUCCCAGGGAGAAAGAAACAACCUUUCUAUCUCUGUGGUCCUUUCUAUCUCUAAGUUGAGAACAAGUCUAUUAUUAAGUAAUUUAUUGCAAAAGAGCUAUUGGUUGCCUCAGAGGAAAAAAAAAUUACAGUUUCUCUGAGAUGCCUGAGCUGCUACUACAUCAUAAACUGAGUAUGUAUUUAACAAGGAUGGAGGAAACGAUACUGAUUGGUUUGGAGGUUUUUAAGACACCUGCCUCACUGGAUUUGAGCCUUGGUUACAUCUCUCAGGUCACACUGGUUUUCCCCCAAAACAUG